rnacentral:sRNA from 1 species
UUCAUUGCCAGCGAUACCUCGGUGAGAA